rnacentral:rRNA from 1 species
CUCGUAGGCGGUUUGUCACGUCGUCUGUGAAAUCCUAGGGCUUAACCCUGGACGUGCAGGCGAUACGGGCUGACUUGAGUACUACAGGGGAGACUGGAAUUUCUGGUGUAGCGGUGGAAUGCACAGAUAUCAGGAAGAACACCGAUGGCGAAGGCAGGUCUCUGGGUAGUAACUGACGCUGAGGAGCGAAAGCGUGGGUAGCGAACA